rnacentral:rRNA from 1 species
GUGGGGAAUCUUCCGCAAUGGACGAAAGUCUGACGGAGCAACGCCGCGUGAGUGAAGAAGGUUUUCGGAUCGUAAAGCUCUUUCGUUAGGGACGAACGUGCUCUUUGUGAAUAAUGAGGAGUAAUGACGGUACCUAAAUAAGAAGCCACGGCUAACUACGUGCCAGCAGCCGCGGUAAUACGUAGGUGGCAAGCGUUGUCCGGAAUUAUUGGGCGUAAAGCGCGCGCAGGCGGGAUAUCAAGUCUGUCUUAAAAGUGCGAGGCUCAACCUCGUGAGGGGACAGAAACUGGUAUUCUUGAGUGUCGGAGAGGAAAGUGGAAUUCCAAGUGUAGCGGUGAAAUGCGUAGAGAUUUGGAAGAACACCAGUGGCGAAGGCGACUUUCUGGACGAUGUCUGACGCUGAGGCGCGAAAGCUAGGGGAGCGAACAGGAUUAGAUACCCUUGUAGUCC